UAGGGAUUCCUUAUUCACAGACACCGGUGGUAGAGAGAGUGCGUUUGACCCAUGUCGUCCUUACAAGAUGUGAUGUAUUUUCAAUACCUACCUAAGCUCAUGUUGAUCUGUCUGAUCUGUCCAAUCUGAACACCAGUGCAAGUGUGAUGGUCUGUGGCAAACCCUGCUUGAGCACAGGCAUGGAUGUAUCUUUUCUUGAGUGCAGGUGUGUGGGUAUCCUUACUUGAGCGCAGAUGUAAUGGUGGAUGGCUAUCCCUGCUUGAGUGCAGGUAUAGACUAUAAGCUCGUUUGAGCAGGGUC